CCCACUCAAAGGAGAAACAUGUGUUUAAUAUCUGGGAUCCAUUAAUCUCUCUGGUAAUCACACAGGUAUCUGGGCUCCAUUAAUCUCUCUGAGAAUCACACAGCGGUGAGUAAAGUUCCCCAAACCAACACACGCAGGUACACAUAUACAUACACUAAUUUAUACACACUCACAAACAUACCAACACACACACACACACACACACACACUUUCUCUCCCUUUUUCCGUUUCUUCCAUACGCACACACACGCCCCAAGCUCAUAGUCUCUGCGUAAGGUGGCAGCUGCACUUCAACUCCAUUACAUUUGUACCAGUUCCCUGACAGUGCUCAUCACAACCCCUGUGUGGCACUAUUGCUAUUGCUAAUGCUACACUAUGCAUUCAGCUCUGCUCUGAUGGCGCUAUUGCUAAUGCUAAUGCUACACUAUGCGUUCAGCUUUGCUCUGAUGGUGCUACUGCUAAUACUACACUAUGCGUUCAGCUUUGCUCUGUUCAGCUCUGCUCUGAUGGCGCUAUUGCUAAAGCUAAUGCUACACUAUGCGUUCAGCUCUGCUCUGAUGGUUCUAUUGCUAAAACUACACUAUGCAUUCAAGCGACAGUGGGGGCGACAGUGGUGCAGGGGGUAGAGAAGUCGGUUAGUAAUCAGAAGGUUGCUAGUUCCCUGUCGAAGCGUCCUUGAGCAAGACACUUAACCCCUAAUUGCUCCUGAUGUGCAGUGUGCCAUCAGUGAAAAUGUGUAUACAUCCUUGUAAGUCGCUUUGGAUAAAAGCGUCUGCUAAAUGACUAAAUGUAAAUGUAAAUGUAAAGCUCCGCUCUGAUGGCACAUUGCUUCACUGACAGUGCAUUGAUCCAUAAUGGUGCAUCGCUUCUAAUGUUUGUAUCGAGAUUGACAGUAAUGGAAGAAGUGCCCGCAUGCUUUCAGACUCCCAGGCAGUGAUUCAGGGGGAGUGAACGUGCUUGACAGACUCCUUCCCAUGCUUGUUUAUUUUUGGCCAUUUUGUUCCAACGGGUCAGGAAGUGCAGUGUCAUUCUUCUCCAUAAUGUAGCUCUGUUUGAUGACUUUAUUCAAUCCAGGCUCUAGAAAUUAAUCCAUCCAUACUUAAUCCAUUAAACAUCUGAGACACACACACACACACACACACACACACACACACACACACACACACACACACACACACACACACACACACACACACACACACACUUUCUUUCUCUUUCUCCCUAGCAGAGAGGCCCAGAGGAGCUGGUCCACAGAGAGCAGUAGUCUAUGGGGAUAGGCACAGUUAGAGCAGUAGUCUAUGGGGAUAGGAACAGUCAGAGAGCAGUAGUCUAUGGGGAUAGGCACAGUUAAAUAUCAGUAGUCUAUAGGGAUAGGCACAGUUAGAGAUCAGUAGACUAUAGGGAUAGGCACAGUUAGAGAGCAGUAGUCUAUGGGGAUAGGCACAGUUAGAGCAGUAGUCUAUGGGGAUAGGCACAGUUAAGGUCAGUAUGGGGAUAGGCACAGUUGGAGGAAGGAAGCCCUUAGGGCCACCUAAAGGUUCUGGGGUCGGGUGCAAAGGCCGCAGAUAAAUAACUCCUGCUUGGAUUAGGAACUUGUAUCCAUACAAGGGAAACAAGUGCUUUAAGUUAAGAGCAUGAAACAGGUCUAUUUUCAGUCAGUCC
ensembl:lncRNA